rnacentral:rRNA from 1 species
UACGUAGGGGGCAAGCGUUGUCCGGAAUCAUUGGGCGUAAAGCGCGUGUAGGCGGCUUGGUAAGUCUGCUCUGAAAGCCCGGGGCUCAACCCCGGAAUUGCCUUUAAGACUGCAUCGCUUGAAUCCAGGAGAGGUGAGUGGAAUUCCGAGUGUAGAGGGUAGAAAUUCGUAGAUAUUCGGAAGAACACCAGCGGCGAAGGCGGCUCACUGGACUGGUAUUGACGCUGAGGUGCGAAAGCGUGGGGAGCAAACAGG